AUGCAAUCCACCAAGUCCUGAGAUCAUACCCAGUAUGCCAGUUGUUGCAGAAGUGGGAAGCAAUCAGUAGUGGAGAUAUGUAGACGUAUCCUAGUUGAACACUUGUAGAAAUACAAACAUCUUGAAUCCUUGCUAUGCCUGAGAAGGAUGGAAUAGCCAUUAAGACUGAUUUCAGGUGGUUUUGAUAGGCACAGAACAACUAAGCCUGCAUCUUCAGG